rnacentral:lncRNA from 1 species
GUCACUGGCACCAUAUGCAACAAGAACCACCAUUCACUGAGUAGCUAAUGGGUUUGGGGCCUGGGACAUUCCAUCUGAGGUCCUUCCUGAACAUGUCACUCCACAGCAGAGGACCGGUUGCAGCUUACCCAGAACCACUCCUCCAGGAGAGCUGGAUGUUUUGCGUGCAACACCUUGAGCACUGACUGCUAUUGUUCAAAAAAAGCCUUUGCUGCAUUCGGAGGACUGCCCCGUGCCCUGAGGUGACUUCCUAACUAUGUGGUUUCAUUAGCGAAUUUAUUUUUUGUGCUGGGUGGACAUUUGUAUUUUGUUAGGUUGCUGUUUAAGCUCAAGUUUGCUGUGCUCUCUGCAGCUACAAAACAUCUUGGCAUAUUUAAGAGUGGCUUUUAUAAAUAGCUUUAUUCUGAUAUUAAUCAGAUUCCCAACUUUACUGAGAAUUAAGGACUGGGGUACUUUAAAGAAAUGCAAAUAGCAAUUGAAGAACCACUGCUGCAGGUGGUAGCCCUGGCUAGACUGAAUUACACUAGAAAUCAGCCAGAAGGAAGCGUCCUUGGGAUCCCAGAUCACUCUUUUUUUUUUUUUUUAAAAGGGGCAGCCCCUUGAUGGCUCAUCUCUCUGAAUAACAGUUACGUCUUCAUAUCGCAAGAAAGCACUUUGUAGGGGAACUUUAGUAAGUUCUUCUCAUUUCAUUAUGUUUCUUCCAAGGAAACAGGAGAGACUGAAUUAAUAAUUCUCUCUUUCCUCUUAAGCACUUUUAAAAUAAUAAAGUACAUCUUGAAAUUUGGGGAGGCAUCUCUGAUUUAAAAAAAGAAAAAGGCUGCUUGAUGUAUGUUAUGCAGAGACACUCUGCCUCUGGUGGCUGCAGAGCAAUACCCAAGCCUCAUUUGGAAGGCUCAACAUUUGGAAUUGCACUUUAAUUGAUUAAUCCUCAAUUCAUGUGGCCUUACGGGAUGGUGGGUCUGGGACCCCAAUUCAUUCUUAUCUGCCAAAGAAUUAUCUAGAAGCACAUCAAAUACCAGCACCCCACCUGCUCAAUGGGGGUGGAAAACUUUUGUAUCCCUAAGCAUAUUAUUUUAUAGUGUCUGCCAUGCCAUGUGGAAAUACUUUAUUUUUAACCUCAGGAUUUAAAUAAAGUAAACACUAUGACAUUU